AAUCGAAGUGCUACACAGGAAGGGUCAUGGCUACUACUUUCUCCAACGCCGGUUGCUUGAUUGUUGUUAUCAGUUUCUCAAUUGUUGCUAGUGGUAUCUUACGGGGCCUUCCUCGACCUCUGCCUCUCCCUCUCGCCAUUGUUACAGACUAGGCGUACGUUUAACUAACGUGCACCGAGAGAAACGAAGAAGAAGAAGAAACGGGUUGAUAACAAUUAAACU
rnacentral:lncRNA from 1 species